GGAGACCGGGAGGAACCUCCGGUCAAACGACAGUGUGCGGGAGCUCCUGUUCCGUCAACCUCCAGCCAUCCAUCAGCAUGCUGUUCAACUCUUUUGUGAACUUUCAUACCUUCUUUCUUGCUUGAGUUUAAACUUAGAAAUCUGGACAUUCUGAAGGCCAUUGAGGAUAGACGGAGAAUUAAGAGUCAGCUUAUAAACACCCCGUUCAGAGAGACUCCAAACAAAAUAUAAGCAGCAAUUCAGAGAAGCCAACUAAACAGUGAAGAGGAUGGUGAGCGUCGACCACCAAGCCGACGUUGAGGAGCUCGCGGAGGAGGCGGGACGUGCUGCAGCCCGAGGAGAAGACACCACUCUACUGUCAGUUCACCUAUUAAAGAUAAACAGGGCAAGCUUCUCACAACAGAAGCAGAAGAAGAUGCAUGCUGCGCUGAACAUUUUCAGGAAAUUUUGAACAGGGAUCCACCACAAUAAGGAACAGACAUUCCAGAAAGAGAGCCAAACCUAGACAUCAACACUUACCCACCAACAUAGGAAGAAAAUUGUUUCAGUCAUCAAGUCACUACAAAGUAAUAAAACACCAGGUUAUGACAAUUUGAAUGCAGAGCUGUUCAAGACCGACCCAGAGACAGCAACAGAGAUGUUGCAACCACUUUUCAAGACUGUUUGAACAUCAGCAAGCAUACCAGAAGAGUGGGCUAAAGGUGUAAUUAUCCAUAUUCCAAAGAAGGGCACACGCAGUGACGGUAACAACUGGCGUGGUAUCACCCUUCUGUCCAUCCCCAGCAAGAUCCUGGCCAAGAUAAUCAAUAGGUUGUCAGAAGCCAUGACUGAGUGUGUUGUAGAAAGGAACAAGCCGGUUUAGAAAAUGGGGGAGUUGCACAGAACAGAUUUUUGCUCUGCGAAAUAUCAUAGAACAGAGUGCUGAAUGGCAGCAACAGCUCUUAGUUAACUUUGUAGACUUUGAAUAAGCUUUUGACAGUGUGCACAGAGACACCUUGUGGCGAAUCUUGAGGGCUUAUGGAGUACCGAUCCACACGAUUCAACUGAUUAGAAGCUUCUAUAACAACUAUAAAUGCUGUGUGGGAGGAAGUGACAUCUGGUUUGAGGGGAAAACUGGAGUCCGUCAAAGCUGUGUGAUGUCAGCUCUUCUCUUUGACUUGGUGAUAGACUGGUUGAUGCGCCACAUGACCAAAACAGGACCAACUGGUUUUAGAUGGACACUUUUCUCCACCCUCAAGGAUCUCGACUUUGCUGAUGAUCUGGGAUUGCUCUCUCAUAUCCACCAACACAUGCAGGACAAGUCUGACCGGUUGAGCCGAUUUGGAUCCAUCAAUCAAUGAUCAAUGAUCAGAUUUUACCACUUUCACAGAAAGCUUUACUUACUUGGGUAGCAUCAUCACAUCAGAACUGUCAUUUCCACGUUGCUAGCAGCAGGAAUUAAAGUUUUUGAAAACCUCCACCGACUUUUCCACCAAAGUAGAUCAGUGUGAGGUGAAAGAUGCUCAGUGCAGCUCAGUUCUUUGGUUGGAUCGUUUUUUGUUUUUUUUUUUUUUUUUACAUUUCAUUUGGUUCAUCAACAGACUUCCUGAAGAGAUGACCAGAUGCUCAUGAAGUUCUCCCUCCUGCUCAGCUCCUCCUCAUGUCGCUGAAGGAUAGUGUGAAGCCACAGUUGGGGAGUGUGGGUCCAGACGGCCUGCAGGAUGGAGCUCAGGAGUUGUUAAACAUGGACUGAUAUUCUGGCUGCAGAACACCAGCUUCCACGUUGGAGCUCGUGUGCACAGAGGAGCCGCUCUCUCACACAUGAGAAGAGAGAUUUAUACAUUUUAAAAUAAUCAAAUCUGCAGACCUUCCAUUCCUCACCAUCAGAAGAGCAUCAUGAGCUGCCUGUGGCCAGAUGAGGUCAUGACCUUCACAGAGAAAAAGCUACUUUUUGUGUUUGUUUGGUUUUAAAGAAAUGAGGAGCUCAGGUCCACUGUAAAGCCUUGAGGAAUCACAGAGAACUUCUAAUAGCCUUCUUCCUUUCUAGAAAAAGCUUGAACAUAACAUCUACCUUUAUGACGCCAAUGACAACAUUGAAGUAAAAUUGAGCUGUGAAAAGAUAGCAAACUAAAGCAAGAUAGACAUUUCUUCUAAACUAAAAUAUCUCACAGCCAAGACGUUUUAAAGGCAAGAGAAAUCUAAAAUGUUUAGAAAAAAAACUAUCUUGAAAUCCAGAAAAAAAUGAUUUAACAAAGAUCUGUUGUUCAUUAUUGUAAAAAAAUAGUUAUAUCUAUUUUUUGUCUAUUUUUCCCUUGUUUUUUGAAUUGCUCAAAAUAAACAGAUUAAUCAAUCAUCCAAAAUCAAGAUGAAUUCAGAUUAAGCAAUCAACUUUUAUGAAGAAUUGAUAAUACCUAAAAUGUAAAACAAAGCAAUGUAAAGCUCUCCUGUGAAUGUUUUCUGAUAAAUCCUAUUGAGAUUUACUUCAUGUAGGGGAGGAGCAGAAAAUGACGUCUGAAGCCUCCCUGCCUGGAUUUAGCUCAUGACUGAUUCAGGAAUUAAUUCAG